AAAGAGAGAGAAGAGGAGGAGAAGUUUGUACUGGGUCAGAGACAAGAGAGACGAGAGGAAACAGAGGGAGACGACGUUAAAGACAAAGACGUGAAGAAGUGGGGAGGAGGAGGACAGGCAGGAUGUUACCCAGCAGCCCCGGUGGUCUGGGGAGGACGUGGACUGUUAGACUGCCCAUGUGACCGACGGGAUGAGCCGGAGUCAGAGCGAGCUGGAGGGUCGCCUCGACGACAUGCUGUCUCGCAUCGCCAUGGAGACGCAGGAGAUCCAGGAGCUGGAGCAACAGCUGACUGACGGUCAGAUUCAGGUGAACGAGUCUCUUCAGAGUGAUUUGAGAGGAAUCAUCUAUGGACUACAGAAGAACCUGCGACGCCUCAGAGAUGAGGCUCAUCGUGCUUGGCAGCAGGUUCACAGUCUGCAGAAUGAGAACCACAGUCUCCAGCUCCACCUGGAGGACACUCAGAGUCACUGCAGGCAGCUGGAGGAUGCUGCCAGGACACACACUCAGGACUCGUCUGUGCUGCGGUCGGAGGCUCUGAGAGACACAGAGGUGGAGCUGGAGGCGGAUCUCCAGCAGCUGAGGGAGGAGCUAACUCGACAGGUCACACUGCGACAGUUAGAGUGUGAGGCUCUUCAGGCAGCUGUAGACAAGGAGGAACAGACCAGAGAGAUCAGAGAGUCUCAGCUACAGUCAACCAUCAACACACUGCAGGACGUCGGCCACAGACUCCAGGUCACAGUAGACCAGACCAGGACCCAGCUGGACCAGACCAGGAGCCAGCUGGACCAGACCAGGACCCAGCUGGACCAGACCAGGACCCAGCUGCACCAGACCAGGACCCAGCUGCACCAGACCAGGAGCCAGCUGGACCAGACCAGGACCCAGCUGGGUCAGACCAGGACCCAGCUGGACCAGACCAGGACCCAGCUGGACCAGACCAGGACCCAGCUGGACCAGACCAGGACCAGGACCCAGCUGGACCAAUGUACAGACGCACUUCACGACCCUCAGACGGUUCAGAGUGGAACAGAGGAUCAUGAGGACAUGGCCAGGAUCCAGACCAGGAUCGGAAGGGCGCAGCUCCAACAAGACCAGGACCAGGUGGUCCAUCAUGUGGAGCGGGACCAGGUGGUCCAUCAUGUGGAGCAGGACCAGGUGGUCCAUCAUGUGGAGCAGGACCAGGACCAGGUGGUCCAUCAUGUGGAGCAGGACCAGGUGGUCCAUCAUGUGGAGCAGGACCAGGUGGUCCAUCAUGUGGAGCAGGACCAGGUGGUCCAUCAUGUGGAGCAGGACCAGGACCAGGUGGUCCAUCAUGUGGAGCAGGACCAGGUGGUCCAUCAUGUGGAGCAGGACCAGGACCAGGUGGUCCAUCAUGUGGAGCAGGACCAGGACCAGGUGGUCCAUCAUGUGGAGCAGGACCAGGAGUCAGACCUGCAGAGGUCUCGCAGCAGCCACAGACACCUGAGAGACGGACACCAGAGGCGCCUGAACAGGAAACUACGGCAGCUCAGAGAGACCAUGAACAACUCAGUGAGCGAUCAGCUGACACCGAUCAUCCAACAGCUGAGAGCGCUGAACCAGAGGGCGGAGCUACUGCACCCACAGGAAUCAUUGUGUGUGUGUGAGUGUGUGCACAGAGAAGCAGAGCGGUUGGAGCAAGAGAAGAAGAAACUACAACUGGAAACCAGACAGCUUCAAUACACACUGAGACGACACAGGAGUGUGUUGCGGGUGUGUGAUGAGGUGGAGUGUGUAGAGAAAACGCUGCUGAAGAGACGAGCUGAGCUCCGUCAGGCUGACAGACUGCUGCUGGAGGCUCAGAGCUGCAUACACACCACUAGAGAGCAGGCCAGUUCAGCUCAGUGGGAGGUGGACGAUUGGCAGCUGGAGGCCACACACACACCGAGAGGACACAGACGCUCUGAUGUGCUGUCAGACUGUCAGCAGGCUCAGAGGCGUCUGGACUCAGUCGCGCUCAGCAGGGGCAGAGGUUGGAGGAGGAGAGAGAGGAGGAGCAACGACUACAGAACACAGUCCAGGAGCUGUCGGAGCAGCUGUUGCUGAGACGAUCAACAGCGUCAGCUGUGAGGGAGGAGCAGCAGAAAGUCCUCAGCGUUCAGACAGAACUCCUCGAACACAGAGCAGAGCUGAAACGUCUUCUACAGGAGCUGCUUGUUGAGCAGCAGGCGCUGCAGCAGGUGAAAAACAAACGCACCCAGAGUCUCCAGCGGCUCCACAAGAAGAGAGACGAACUGGACGGGAAGCAGGAAGAACUGGACAGG